rnacentral:lncRNA from 1 species
UUGAGAGAUAUUUUUGUAUGAUUUAUAAAGUUUGUACUGAUAUAAAAAUUCUUUUUUAAGUUUGUAAGGGUAUAUAAACUAUGUUAAAAGUUUUGAAAAGAUAUGUCAGUAAGAAUUAAUAAUACUUCAAUACACCAUGUAAAUCUUAACUAUUCAUUUUUUUAAACAGAUGGUUGAGAUGUAAUAUGAUUUUAUAGGCUACCUACUAUUCAGGCAUAAGUACCAUACACCAGGUACCUAUUUAAAGGAUAUUUUAGUCUUAGGAAAACAUUUUGGCCUACGAAAUCGGUUUUAUCUAACUAAGAAUAAUAUAAGCUUCUCAAAUACCUACAACAAUAGUUGAAAUUCAAAUUGCAACUAAACUGUAAAUUUAAAUGCAAAGCAACAUAAAAAACUUAAUUAUAAAUCAAAUUCAAUUUUUAAAUAUAAAACACAAAUUUAAAAUAAAACUUUCAGUUCAAAUUCAAAAUUUUAAUUUAAAUCAAAAAUUAAAAUUUAGCUUUCAGAUUAAAAGAAUAAUGUAGAUUCAAAAUUUAAAAGUUUAAUAUAAAAUUUUGAAAUUAAAAUUUUACAUUACGAUACCAACUUCAAAACUUAAAUUUAAAUUUAAUAUUUUUUUGAGUUGGAUGCUUAACAAAUUGGGUAUUAUCUAAUUUAGUAAGUAACAAAACUAAAUAAGAUACUUAGUAUUAUAGGAUGCUAACAAAUUUAGUAUAUACUAUUAAUUUUUUUUUCUAAUAUUGUCAUAUUAACUAAUUCAAAUCGGUAACCUGUUCAAUAGGUUAACGUUACUUUAUAUAAAAUCCAACUAUACCCUUUACUAAUUAAGAGUUUGAUUUUAAUACUUAUGAUGGUGUAUUGAAGCAUUGCUCUAUCAGUAAUUGACCUUUUUUAUAUUUUGCCUAC